rnacentral:rRNA from 1 species
AGAGUUUGAUCCUGGCUCAGGGUGAACGCUGGCGGCAUGGAUAAGGCAUGCAAGUCGAAUGGGUUUAGACCCAUGGCAGACGAGGUAGUAACACGUAGGAACGUCCCCCAAAGUCGGGCAUAUUCCGUCGAAAGACGGUGCAAUUCCCGAUGGUCUCGCAAGAGUAAAGAUUUAUCGCUUUGGGAGCGGCCUGCGUUGUAUCAGCUAGUUGGUGAGGUAAUGGCUCACCAAGGCUAUGACGCAUAGGGGGAGUGAGAGCUCGAUCCCCACCGAUGGAAUUGAGAUACGGUCCAUACUCCUACGGGAGGCCGCAGCCGAGAAUAUUCGACAAUGGACGAAAGUCUGAUCGAGCGAUGCCGCGUGGUGGAUGAAGUGCUUCGGUACGUAAACAUCUUUUAUGAGGGAGGAAGUUAUUGACGUUACCUCAUGAAUAAGGGGCUCCUAACUCUGUGCCAGCAGGAGCGGUAAUACAGAGGCCCCAAGCGUUACCCGGAAUUACUGGGCGUAAAGAGUGUGUAGGUGGUCGUGUUAGUCGUUUGUUAAAUCUCGGGGCUCAACCUCGAAAUCGCGGGCGAAACGGCACGACUUGAGGGCGUGAGAGGUACAUGGAACUCAUGGUGUAGGGGUGAAAUCCGUUGAUAUCAUGGGGAACACCGAAAGCGAAGGCAAUGUACUGGCGCGUUCCUGACACUCAAGCACGAAAGCGUGGGUAGCGAACGGGAUUAGAUACCCCCGUAGUCC